UGUGUCAGCGCUGAACAAACCGUCAUGACCUGUUUUCUGGCUGAUGCAAACAGAUUCACCCUUGUAAAAAAUACACUGAGUGGCAUUAGCUCUUAAUAGAUAGGAUUUAAUGGUAGUAUCUGCAGCUGUCGGCUGUGGGAUUUCUUUUUAAGAGCGCAGUUAUGAUUUAGGCCAGACACAUAAGACUAUUGCAAUUAGGGAGGUAACUAAAAAGGCUUAAAUGACCUUGUAGGGAGAGGGGUCUGUAUUCCCAGCUGCGCUCCCAGUGCCGGCUAAGCAUCCUGUCUAGAUGGGGAGAUGGUGCAACACCCCAGCCUUGGAAAGCAUAUCAGAGGGGAAGGAAGGGAAAGGGUGGUUUGAACUACAAAGUUCAGUUGGCAAACACAGCUCUUCUCUGUCUCUCUGGAAAUUUAUAAGCCAACUAGCAAGCAAGGUGGCAAAGCCGGAUUUCCAGUGGGAGCAAUGUGUCCCGAGCCCGCUGCUGCUGGAGUUUUGGAAAUGUCCUAUAUCCGGCCCUGGAGGUAGGCUGAUGACAGCUGAAGAAGACUGUAUUUGCUGAGGAGCAGCAUGAUGGUAGAGAGGAGCAGAGCUCCUGAGGGAGACCUAAUGGUUCCUCUCCUUCCUGCACGGAGAUAAAGACUUAUAAUAAGCGUGCAUGUUCACCAUCUGGCUCUGUGCAUGUGGUCCUUAUGGAGGGGAAAGCAGCACAAUCUGUAAAUGAUCAGGAGCCAUGGCGCUCUCUCCAGAGAAUCCACGAUGCAAUCAAGGUGACAGAUGGCAUGGCCACUGCUGUGGCCUCAUGGAGAAGAUCAAAAUCACCUUCAAUAAACUCUGACUGAAAUGGGCAUGAGCACCUCAAAAAAGUCAGUUUGUCAGUCAAACUGCGACAGCAAGCUGCAUUGGGGAAACAUAGCGGCCAGCUCUCUGUUUUCAAUCGUUUCCGUCUGACUGGGCCUGAACUAUGAUCUUUCUCAAAUUGUCCUUUCUGUUUAGCUGAAGCAGGCCAGCAAAUUGCCAGAUUCAUUGCUUUAUUGAAGAAAAUUGAAAACACGAUGUCCUCAAUUCCGGGGACGUGCGACUGGCAGGUGCUGGGACACCCAAGCGCUGAGAGUGGAUCCCCGUGUCUUCAGCCCAAGUUUGCUCAACUUUAGGCAGAUUUUUGGAUAUGAAAAUAAAAUGCAAAUAUGUGCCUGGCCUGAAAAGAUCAGCUGGCAAUGGAUAUGUGAAGGGUAUUAGAUGUCCAAUAAAUGUGUGUAGAAUAAACACAAGCUUGAAAGGAAAAGGAGGAAAGGAGGAAGGAAGGAAAGAGACGAAGUCUCCGUGUUGUUGGUUUCAUGUAUUUUGACAGCAGGCUGCCUUGAUGAUAGAUUCGCUAUCCAUUUCCUUUUCUGUGCAUGUUUAUCGAAUAUAGAUUGCUGUGAACUUGAAGCCUGGGACAUAAGAUCAGCGAAAUACAGGUGGAACAUUUUGUCCUAAACAAAUUGUAUAGAAUUUGUAGAGGUCAACGAGUUCAGACAAAUUUCCAUUUUUGACCCCCUUCCUUCCACAGCUGAAACAUUUUUGAAAGGUCCAACUGCUCGUAAAACUAGAGGGGGAUGAGUAAAAGUUACCUGUAGUGGGAGAAAAAUACUGUACUGUCUUUUUGAGAGGUAAGGGCACUGAUUUCAGGUCAAAGAUGAUGGAUCUUAAUGAAAGGACUCUCCCCCUCCCUCUCCCUCCUCCUCCCUUGGCAGAGUUCCACUGUUGUUCUUCCUCCCAAGCUCCAGGAAAUGUACAUUUCAAGCAAAAGUCGACUUUCCCAACCUUGUGGUUUCCCCAGAACCCCGUAUCUGUUCUCUGAUCCUGGUGUUUUAUAUUAUUAAGCCUGUGAGGAUAUCUCACAAUUCCAACAUCCCAUUGAUUUUCCUACUCGAGACCAUAAUCUUCUAGUUUGCAUACUUGCUUUAUUUAAAAUCCAAAUCCUGCUCCCGCCCCUGUCCCCAUACUCCAUGUUGUAAAUUAUUUGCUUGACAGCUGAGAAAUAUCUUACUAUUGGGUUCUGGAUUCUCAUAAUGGCUUUCUUUUCCCUCAUAGUUGCUUCUGAAUGCUAAUGUCCUGCUGUAGAGAUUUACAAACAACUGAAGGACUUCAUCUCUAAUCUGUGUACACAAAGCGAGAGAAACUAUGAAAAAGGGCUCAUAUUUUGAGUAACAGAAAUAGCAAGGACUUCAUAUAAGGACUGUCUUUUCACAGAACAUGUAAGUGUAGCUGACUUGUUAUGUGUCACGGUUCCAUGUGGUCUCCUGGGAGCCAGGGACUAAAUUUAUUCAGGAGGAAAUAUCUAUGGAGUGCUGAACACCUUCUAGGUAUAGGCUGUGUCAGGAGCUGAGAAAUAAAACUUCAUAAAGAAAAGUAGGUAUCACACAGCACUUUUAUGGUCAUUCUCCCCUCCGGCUGGCUCUCUGCUGAGCCCGUUUGCAUUCUCAUCAAUAAUAGCUCUUGUGGAACACAGGACCCAGACGUGUGGGCUGGUGGGAGCAUGCUGUCCUGUCCCUGGAGACGCUGUGUGUAUUCUCCAUCCUGGCCUUUGGCUCUCUGGAAUGACAGGCUCUGUAAUAGACAUGUUCAUCAACACGGCCACAAGGAGGGGUGGCAGGAUGGGUCAUUUCUGUCUAUCGGUAGCAGUUUCUUCCCCCCCAGACUCCAGCUGCUCACAUGGAGUUAUGCUUCAGAAAGGCAAAUGGGUCUAAUCCUUUCCUUAAGGAAAAAGAUUAUAUGGGGAAAUUCAGCAGGGGCCAGAAGGUUGAAGUAGCCUACACUGGAACACGAAUGUUGUGAGGCAACCAGCAGGAAAUUUAGUAAUCAGAGCUCGGCCUAAAUUCAGAUAAUUACGUUCAAGUUCUCUCUUGCGUGCAGUGUCACCUGAUCGUAUGCAAAUUGUGUAACCAUAUAUCAUUACUCUCUUUUAUGUCCUAUCAUUCCUAAAUAAUAAAUUGCUUAGAGAAA